GCGAUUAAUACCGCAUACGCCCUUCGGGGGAAAGAUUUAUCGGAGAAGGAUCGGCCCGCGUUAGAUUAGAUAGUUGGUGGGGUAAUGGCCUACCAAGUCUACGAUCUAUAGCUGGUUUUAGAGGAUGAUCAGCAACACUGGGACUGAGACACGGCCCAGACUCCUACGGGAGGCAGCAGUGGGGAAUCUUAGACAAUGGGCGCAAGCCUGAUCUAGCCAUGCCGCGUGUGUGAUGAAGGUCUUAGGAUCGUAAAGCACUUUCGCCAGGGAUGAUAAUGACAGUACCUGGUAAAGAAACCCCGGCUAACUCCGUGCCAGCAGCCGCGGUAAUACGGAGGGGGUUAGCGUUGUUCGGAAUUACUGGGCGUAAAGCGUACGUAGGCGGAUCAGAAAGUUGGAGGUGAAAUCCCGGGGCUCAACCCGGGAACUGCCUCCAAAAACUCCUGGGUCUUGAGUUCGAGAGAGGUGAGUGGGAAUUCCAAGUGUAGAGGGUGAAAAUUCGUAGAUAUUUGGAGGGAACACCAGUGGCGAGGGCGGCUCACUGGCUCGUUACUGACGCUGAGGGUACGAAAAGUUGGGGGAGCCAAACAGGAUUAGAUACCCUGGUAGUCCACACCGUAAACGAUGAAAUGCCCAGUCCGUCGGGCAGUAUACUGUUUCGGUGAACCCACCUUAAGGAUUUAAGCAUUCCGCCCUGGGGGAGACCGGUCGCAAGGAUUAAAACUCAAAGGAUUUGACGGGGGGCCCGCAUAAGGCGCUGAAGCAUUGU
rnacentral:rRNA from 1 species